rnacentral:piRNA from 1 species
UGAAAAAAAUGAUGGGAAGCCCAGCUGUACC